rnacentral:rRNA from 1 species
UACGUAGGGGGCAAGCGUUGUCCGGAUUUAUUGGGCGUAAAGAGCGUGUAGGCGGCCAUACAGGUCCGUUGUGAAAACUCGAGGCUUAACCUCGAGACGUCGAUGGAAACCGUAUGGCUAGAGUCCGGAAGAGGAGAGUGGAAUUCCUGGUGUAGCGGUGAAAUGCGCAGAUAUCAGGAAGAACACCCGUGGCGAAGGCGGCUUACUGGUCCAUAACUGACGCUGAGGUGCGAAAGCGUGGGGAGCAAACAGG